AUUAAAAGCUAACAAUAGGGAACUUACAAGGCUCUUGAUUAAUAGAUGUAAAGUAGCUGUUAAUGUCAGGAUAUCAAAUCGUAAAUUUGAAACAAAACUGGACAUUCAGAUUAUCCACCAAAACUUAGACUCCGUUUUAUGGCAUCCAGAACAAAAAUCACAGCUCUGACAACGGUUUUACACAGUGUACCUGCAAGUGGGGCUAACAGUUCCAGAGACAGCCAGAAGACACUGGUACCACUGUGGACAGCUCGAAAUUUGGAAUCCUCCUGCCUCAGCUUCCCAGCAUCCCCCAACCCCUUCUAUGGCUCCAAGAAAAGAGCAGGUUGAAGUGGUCUGAAGGAAGGAAUGGGCACGGAAACACAGCUGCAACGAAAAUCGUCAUUCACUGAACUAAAAACAAGGGACCCGGUAUGGGCAAACAGGAGCAUUCAAGACCUAACACCUUCAUCAUCGGCUAAAGAGCACUGUGCUAGAAUUUGGGGCCACCACUCCAUUAGGAGGUCUACAAACUUUCGAAACAGGAGGAUCUUCUGAAACAAGAGGAUCUCGUGAGAAAACAGAUUUUUGUUUUCCUUGAAGGACACCAGAGCCUGAAGAAGCACCCGUUCAGCAGGGCCUCUCAGCAGUGGGAGUAGAUGUUGGUUUGCUCAGAACGAACGUCCAGAUCCCAUUUCCCAAAACAGUUUACAUGCUUCCUACCUCCGUGCCAUGUGCCUCCAAACCUCACCUCCAUCCCAAGUGCUUUCCCUCGUGCUUUUUUUUUUUCCUUCUUUUUAAUUCGAGUUCUCACAGCUAGUAUUAUUAUUUUUAGGGCUGCAAUCUCCCAUAGUCCUUAUUUUCACUCAAAAUUACAAUACAGGGGACUAUGGCCAAUGCUAUGCAGAUGGCCAAAUAGAUAAUAAAGACUCGGUUCAUGAAUAAUACCCACUCAGAAAGAGGACAAAAGCAACAGGAAAAAAGACCCAAAUUGGACAAAAUGUGCAUGCUAUAUUUAAAAAAAACCGCACACGCGAUCAUUGUCAGAGAUCAUUAAGGGUGCCCUGUAGUUUUAAUUAUGUGCCAGUGCACCAAUUUGAUGGGAGUGUUUGCUCCUAUAGUCAAUAAAAAAAG
ensembl:lncRNA